GUAGGUGGCAAGCGUUGUCCGGAAUUACUGGGUGUAAAGGGAGCGUAGGCGGGGAGACAAGUUGAAUGUUUAAACUAUCGGCUCAACUGAUAGUCGCGUUCAAAACUAUCACUCUUGAGUGCAGUAGAGGUAGGCGGAAUUCCUAGUGUAGCGGUGAAAUGCGUAGAUAUUAGGAGGAACACCAGUGGCGAAGGCGGCCUACUGGGCUGUAACUGACGCUGAGGCUCGAAAGCGUGGGUAGCAAACAGGAUUAGAUACCCUGGUAGUCCACGCCGUAAACGAUGAUUACUAGGUGUGGGGGGACUGACCCCUUCCGUGCCGGAGUUAACACAAUAAGUAAUCCACCUGGGGAGUACGACCGCAAGGUUG
rnacentral:rRNA from 1 species